rnacentral:rRNA from 1 species
UACGGAGGGUGCAAGCGUUGUCCGGAUUUAUUGGGUUUAAAGGGUGCGUAGGCGGCUCAUUAAGUCUGGGGUGAAAGCCCGUUGCUCAACAACGGAACUGCCCUGGAAACUGGUGAGCUUGAGUACAGACGAGGGUGGCGGAAUGGAUGCUGUAGCGGUGAAAUGCAUAGAUAGCAUCCAGAACCCCGAUUGCGAAGGCAGCUUACCGGCGCCCAACUGACGCUGAGGCACGAAAGCGUGGGGAUCGAACAGG